GUGCUCGCUUCGGCACCACAUAUACUAAAAUUAGAACGAUACAGAGGAGAUUAGCAUGGCCCCCGUGCAAGGAUGACAUGCAAAUUCGCGAAGCAUUCCAUAUUUUU
ensembl:snRNA U6 U6 spliceosomal RNA